rnacentral:rRNA from 5 species
UGCUUAACACAUGCAAGUCGAACGGGAUGCUUAGGCAUCUAGUGGCGGACGGGUGAGUAACGCGUGAGAAUCUGGCUCCAGGUCGGGGAUAACAGUUGGAAACGACUGCUAAUACCGGAUGUGCCGAGAGGUGAAAGAUUUAUUGCCUGGAGAUGAGCUCGCGUCUGAUUAGCUAGUUGGUGGUGUAAGGGACCACCAAGGCGUCGAUCAGUAGCUGGUCUGAGAGGAUGAUCAGCCACACUGGGACUGAGACACGGCCCAGACUCCUACGGGAGGCAGCAGUGGGGAAUUUUCCGCAAUGGGCGAAAGCCUGACGGAGCAAUACCGCGUGAGGGAGGAAGGCUCUUGGGUCGUAAACCUCUUUUCUCAAGGAAGAAGAAAGUGACGGUACUUGAGGAAUAAGCAUCGGCUAACUCCGUGCCAGCAGCCGCGGUAAUACGGAGGAUGCAAGCGUUAUCCGGAAUGAUUGGGCGUAAAGGGUCUGCAGGUGGAACUGAAAGUCUGCUGUUAAAGAGUUUGGCUUAACCAAAUAAAAGCGGUGGAAACUACAGAACUAGAGUGCGGUAGGGGCAAAAGGAAUUCCUGGUGUAGCGGUGAAAUGCGUAGAUAUCAGGAAGAACACCGGUGGCGAAAGCGUUUUGCUAGACCGUAACUGACACUGAGGGACGAAAGCUAGGGGAGCGAAUGGGAUUAGAUACCCCAGUAGUCCUAGCCGUAAACGAUGGAUACUAGGCGUGGCUUGUAUCGACCCGAGCCGUGCCGGAGCUAACGCGUUAAGUAUCCCGCCUGGGGAGUACGCACGCAAGUGUGAAACUCAAAGGAAUUGACGGGGGCCCGCACAAGCGGUGGAGUAUGUGGUUUAAUUCGAUGCAACGCGAAGAACCUUACCAAGACUUGACAUCCUGCGAAUCCCGGUGAAAGCUGGGAGUGCCUUAGGGAGCGCAGAGACAGGUGGUGCAUGGCUGUCGUCAGCUCGUGUCGUGAGAUGUUGGGUUAAGUCCCGCAACGAGCGCAACCCUCGUUUUUAGUUGCCAGCAUUAAGUUGGGCACUCUAGAGAGACUGCCGGUGACAAACCGGAGGAAGGUGAGGAUGACGUCAAGUCAGCAUGCCCCUUACGUCUUGGGCUACACACGUACUACAAUGCUACGGACAGAGGGCAGCAAGCCAGGGAUGGCAAGCGAAUCCAGAAACCGUAGCUCAGUUCAGAUCGAAGGCUGCAACUCGCCUUCGUGAAGGAGGAAUCGCUAGUAAUUGCAGGUCAGCAUACUGCAGUGAAUUCGUUCCCGGGCCUUGUACACACCGCCCGUCACACCAUGGAAGUUGGUCACGCCCGAAGUCAUUACCCCAACCGAAAGGAGGGGGAUGCCUAAGGUAGGACUGGUGACUGGGGUGAAGUCGUAACAAGGUAGCCGUACCGGAAGGUGUGGCUGGAUCACCUCCUUU